rnacentral:rRNA from 1 species
UGGGGAAUAUUGGACAAUGGGCGCAAGCCUGAUCCAGCCAUGCCGCGUGAGUGAUGAAGGACCUAGGGUUGUAAAGCUCUUUCACCGGAGAAGAUAAUGACGGUAACCGGAGAAGAAGCCCCGGCUAACUUAGUGCCAGCAGCCGCGGUAAUACGAAGGGGGCUAGCGUUGUUCGGAUUUACUGGGCGUAAAGCGGACGUAGGCGGACUUUUAAGUCAGGGGUGAAAUCCCGGGGCUCAACCCCGGAACUGCCUUUGAUACUGGAAGUCUUGAGUAUGGUAGAGGUGAGUGGAAUUCCGAGUGUAGAGGUGAAAUUCGUAGAUAUUCGGAGGAACACCAGUGGCGAAGGCGGCUCACUGGACCAUUACUGACGCUGAGGUGCGAAAGCGUGGGGAGCAAACAGG